UGGGGACAUUGUCCAUCGCGGAGUUAGCAAAAAGCUAACUCGUCCAAGUCAAACGCAGCGCCUGCGAAGGACCUCUGGCGUAGAAAUAGACCAACUAGAAACACCGAGAACCGGGUGGACAGCAGGCACUGGAUCACUGCUGAGCUCCAGAUGGGACCCUUGGAUUCAGGCCCAAAGGCAGCAGUAUCUACAAAAUAAUGCUUUACAUAAACCAUCUUUAAUGAAAACAUGUGUAGGGGUUAAUACUGCAUUGUCCAGUCUGUGAAAAAUAAAAUUGGCUAAAAAGCAUAGAUGCAAGGUCUAUGA